rnacentral:rRNA from 1 species
GACGAACCACACAAACGUUAUUCGGAAUUACUGGGCUUAAAGGGUGCGUAGGCGGCGCAGAAAGUAGGGUGUGAAAUCCCUCGGCUCAACCGAGGAACUGCGCCCUAAACUACUGUGCUCGAGGGGGGUAGGGGCGUGCGGAACUGUGGGUGGAGCGGUGAAAUGCGUUGAUAUCCACAGGAACUCCGGUGGCGAAGGCUGCACGCUGGACCCUCUCUGACGCUGAGGCGCGAAAGCCAGGGGAGCGAACGGG